CGCAUCUGUGCAUGCAGUAUAUCAAUAAGCGGAGGAAAAGAAACUAACAAGGAUUCCCCUAGUAACGGCGAGUGAAGCGGGAAGAGCUCAAAUUUGAAAUCUUAAAGGGUUUCCCUUCACGAAUUGUAGUUUAAAGAAGUGUUUUCUGUUGAGGUUUUGGUAAAAGUUCUUUGGAAUAGGACAUCAUAGAGGGUGAGAAUCCCGUAUUUGACCUUUACUUUCAACUUUGUGAUACACUUUCAAAGAGUCGGAUUGUUUGGGAAUGCAGUCCAAAAUGGGUGGUAAAUUUCAUCUAAAGCUAAAUAUUGGCGAGAGACCGAUAGCGAACAAGUACCGUGAGGGAAAGAUGAAAAGAACUUUGAAAAGAGAGUUAAACAGUACGUGAAAUUGUCAAAAGGGAAGCGUUUGACACCAGUGUUGUUUUUCUGAAAAUCAAUUAAAGAACUGUUUAUGCUAAGCUGUUUAGACUUUAUCAGCUAACUGUUUAGUUUUGAGCUUUUCUUUAAUGCACUUUUCAGUUAACAAGUCAACAUCAAUUUCUUUUGCUGUAAAAAAGCUUGAGGAAGGUGACUUGAGAUUCGUCUUAAGUGUUUAUAGCCUCUUGCCUAUGCAGUCGGAGAGAUUGAGGUCUGCAGCGUAGAUCCUUCGGGGCUAAAUGCAUUUGUGCUAAGUUAUAGCAUUUUAUAGACAACUUGUUGACUAUGAUUUGUCUUGUAGCUUACUCGCUUAUGUUAUUUUACCUACGCUUAGGAUGUUGACAGCAGUAUAGACUGU
rnacentral:rRNA from 1 species